CUUUGCUUCCUUUUGGGAGCAGGAAACAAGAGGUUCUGGAUAGUAAUGCGUCUUUCUCCCUUUCCGAUUCUUUAUGUCAGCAGUGACGUCUGGGGUAGCAACGGAAACACCAGCCACUCUCUGGACUUGAGUUAUAGGUCUGUCUGCUGAUGUUGAGGAGCCAACAGGAGGACAGAUGAAAACAUCAAAGGUGAGAAAAGGUAAACGAAUUAUGUAAAAGAGUCUCCAUAUGCAGCCAGUCAGAGGCCAAGCCAGAUAUCGGAUGUGGUGCUGUUAGCUACAGGGCCUAUACCUCCACUCCACUAUCCCACACUGUCUCUUUGGACAGGGGAAGAGGCCUGGAGAUGGCAAUGAUCAUGACUUCAUAGGAACCAGCAAUCAGGGUCUGUGCCAGAAAAAAAAAGAUCUCUGUGAGUUUUUGAGCUCAAGAACUGACAUAAUGACAUCGAACCUGAAGCUUGUUCCUGUGUGAUAUGAUAAAUGAAGCUGAACCUUCCAUGGGGAGCAAGCCAGUAAGAAGCAUACAGUUGACUGAGUUCCUGCCUCAAGGAUCCUGCCUUGAGUUCCUAUCCUGACUCCCUUCAGGAGGGACAAUAAGCAGUAUGAAGAGAUAACCACCUUCCUCUCCAAGUUGCUGUCAGUGUUUUUUUAAUUACAGCAAUAGAAAUCAAACUAAGAUAUCUACCAAGUUGCUGCCUGUGAUCACAGAAGGGACUGAGGUAUGAAAUCCCUUUGCCCACACUGGCGAGAAGGCUCCAAGCAGGAAAAGCAACAGCAAGACACCUCUAUCCAGAUAUUAAUCUUCUGUCCUUUAUAGCUGGAACAUGUGGCUUUCCACGUGACACAACAAUCAAGCUUUGAAUGAAUGUUUCCUGGCAUCUACGAUAAACCCACAGAGGUUAGUUUUGCCGUCCUUAACCCACCAACCACACAUAUUUGCUCGUGAUGGGUUCUACUUCAUGAUCUCUGAAUGUGCUCUUGUUGACCGAUAGGGAGCAAAUCUAAGCUGCUUUCCAUCUUUCCAUGGCAUUUAAGGACAUUCGCAAUCUGGUUUCAUUUGUCUAAUGAUGUAGAAGACCAGGCAGAGAUAAGAUGUCAGCCAGGAAGCUGAAGAAGAGAGGAAAAACAGAAAGUAUUAGUCCCAUUUCCUGCCACCCUGACCUCUGCACAACAGCCACUUUAAACCGCUGAUUGCCCUUUUAUUGCACCACCCAUCUCAUUUGAAAUUUCUGGCUGCAAAUUAAUGUGUUUUCCUCCCACAAAUUGAAUUUGCAUCCCCAGUAAGUACCAAUAGCAGAGGUUUCUCUACGUAUUUUAAGUAAGUGACUUUCCUUGUGUUUAUAGUUUAUGCCAUGAGUAAUUUUCUCUUUUA